rnacentral:tRNA from 1 species
AAGGGCUUAGGAUAGCAUGUAGACCGAGAGCCUUCAAAGCUCCAAGCAGGAGUGAAAAUCUCCUAGCCCUUG